AGGAAUGCUUCUCCAUUUCCUGAUUGCCAAGGCUUAUGGUACCCAAGGAGCUGCUGUGUUACCAUGUGAUCCUGCUCCCCUAGCCACAAUUGAUCUCUGUUGCUCAGAAAAAGAAGAUUUAUGAAGAGAGAAUAAAGCAGACAUACAGAGAAAAGCAGACAAGAUUGCAUGUUCUGACAGUUCAUUUCUAGCUCUUCUCGUUCCUGAGGCCGAGGUGCACCUUGCAGUGGUUCGGUUGACCACCUUCCUUAAAUUCCGUGAGCCAAGAAACUUCCUUUUCUGCUUGAAGGUCCUGAAGGAAAUCCAGGAAGCCAUUCUUUGAUGAAGUCUGCACCCACCCUCGCUGAAAGUGAACUGACUGCUGGAAUAUGAAAUCGUCAUCAUCACAGUUAGUGGGAGGCAAGAGCUGGUGAAAGGAG
rnacentral:lncRNA from 10 species